AGCGAACGCUGGCGGCAGGCCUAACACAUGCAAGUCGAGCGCCCCGCAAGGGGAGCGGCAGACGGGAGAGUAACACGUGGGAACGUACCCUUCAGUUCGGAACAACCCAGGGAAACUUGGGCUAAUACCGGAUACGUCCGUAAGGAGAAAGAUUUAUCGCUGAAGGAUCGGCCCGCGUCUGAUUAGCUAGUUGGUGAGGUAACGGCUCACCAAGGCGACGAUCAGUAGCUGGUCUGAGAGGAUGAUCAGCCUCACUGGGACUGAGACCCGGCCCAGACUCCUACGGGAGGCAGCAGUGGGGAAUAUUGGACAAUGGGCGCAAGCCUGAUCCAGCCAUGCCGCGUGGAUGAUGAAGGCCCUAGGGUUGUAAAGUCCUUUCGGCGGGGAAGAUAAUGACGGUACCCGCAGAAGAAGCCCCGGCUAACUUCGUGCCAGCCGCCGCAGUAA
rnacentral:rRNA from 1 species